rnacentral:rRNA from 1 species
CCUGAUCCAGCCAUGCCGCGUGAGUGAUGAAGGCCUUAGGGUCGUAAAGCUCUUUCGCCUGUGAAGAUAAUGACGGUAGCAGGUAAAGAAACCCCGGCUAACUCCGUGCCAGCAGCCGCGGUAAUACGGAGGGGGUUAGCGUUGUUCGGAAUUACUGGGCGUAAAGCGCACGUAGGCGGACCAGAAAGUUGGGGGUGAAAUCCCGGGGCUCAACCCCGGAACUGCCUCCAAAACUAUUGGUCUAGAGUUCGAGAGAGGUGAGUGGAAUUCCAAGUGUAGAGGUGAAAUUCGUAGAUAUUUGGAGGAACACCAGUGGCGAAGGCGGCUCACUGGCUCGAUACUGACGCUGAGGUGCGAAAGUGUGGGGAGCAAACAGGAUUAGAUACCCUGGUAGUCCACACCGUAAACGAUGAAUGCCAGUCGUCGGGUAGCAUGCUAUUCGGUGACACACCUAACGGAUUAAGCAUUCCGCCUGG